UACGUAGGUGGCGAGCGUUGUCCGGAUUUACUGGGCGUAAAGGGAGCGUAGGCGGACUUUUAAGUGAGAUGUGAAAUACUCGGGCUCAACUUGAGUGCUGCAUUUCAAACUGGAAGUCUAGAGUGCAGGAGAGGAGAAUGGAAUUCCUAGUGCAGCGGUGAAAUGCGUAGAGAUUAGGAAGAACACCAGUGGCGAAGGCGAUUCUCUGGACUGUAACUGACGCUGAGGCUCGAAAGCGUGGGGAGCAAACAGG
rnacentral:rRNA from 1 species